UUGCACUGUACACAUGAACAGUGUUUUGAACCACAUUUCAGUUUAUUUACAAGAUUGCCACAAAGGUGAAGGCGGCUGGGUUAGUUUCGUUUUGGGCUGUGUUUGCUGGGCUUACCUCAAUUGUUGAUGAGGCCGGCCCUUUGGAUGUUAAAAUGAUUGGAAUGCCCAUCUAGGGUUAAGAUCGGACGGUCCGGAUUAAAAGUUUAGAGGGUACUUUUGUCAUCUUAAAUGUCGGGACUGCUUGGGAUCGAUGGUGAGGGGAUUGUAGGGCAGACAGGAGGCCAUGCCGCCUCUGAGAUAGAGAUGGAGAGAGAAGGGGAGAGAGACGGAGACAGCGAGAGAGAGAAAGGGAUUUUAGGGAUUUGCAAAUCCUUCCCCUUCACACAGAACCUCUGCAAAUCAGUCGGCCCAACCCCUCAACGCUCAUUUCCAGAUCCCCUUCAUACUGCAAAUCAAUUCCUUCGCCUUUAGUGCCACCACACUGCAAAUGAAUUCUCUUCAUAUCCUCACGAAUGUGGCUUCUCUGGUUUUCGUUUUUAUUUUUUUAUGGAAGGGAUUGCACUAGGAAAAGGGCUGGAGACGAUUUCAAAUCGUAAAAAGAUUUGAUAGCUUAUGCUUGCUUAGGUUUUUCUGAUUGAAUUGAGAGAUUGAAGAUUUAUAGAUGGGGAAAGUGUCUCCAAAAGAGAGGAAUUUGAAGAACCUGAAACAGAAGAAGCGACGGGGUUCUGGUUGAAUGGAAUUUCUCAAAUGCCUUAGCAGUCACAGUCAUUGCCUCGGUUGUAUGGAUAGUGUAUGAAUUAUGGUUUUAUUGGUCAGUAUACAAAUGUGCGAAAAUUGGUAUUCAUUUAAUGGGUCAAUUCAUCUUUAAUAUGGAUCUGAAUAUCUUAAAUCUUAUAUGCUUGGGUAUCGUGUUGUUGAACUCUGGAAUACGACUAUGCUUUACUAUAGCAUUUUCUCAAGGGAAAAAAGUUCCUUAUUUUUUUUGGUUUUCUUGGCCACCAAAUGAGGAAUAUUUCAUUUUCUUUAUUUGUGUUUGUAGUGAUGUAAUUCAGGUUCUGUUUAUUGUGAUUUUAAUUUAAAUGCGUUACUUUGUCUAUUUUUUUUUUUUUUUGUGCCUUUGAUUUGUUUACCAAUUUUUGGGACAACUCAUGAGCACUAUAAGUGUGAUACAAAAGUUUCUUGAGUUGGGAAAUUUCUUUUUGCCAUAAUCAGUUUUAGAUAAGAAUAAUUUUGUCAUGAUUUGGAGCGAGAUGCCCGGUGUUCAGAGUUUUUAAUGGAAAGAGGGGUAAAGAUUGUUUGGCAAUAUGAUUUUGUGCACGGGAAACUCUGUAAUUGUCACAAUUGGUACAGUUGCAUCUUGAAUUUACUACAAAAUCUAAUCUGUAUCUUGCGGGAAAUGGUAGAUAGGCCAUUUCCGGAAUGACAUGAAAUUAGUUAGAUAUGGCUUAAAAACAGGGGAUACUUAUAGUCUCAUAAAUCUAUUUCAGUCGAAGAAUGUAUUUUGGCAAGGGGACCUUUGAGCUGAUAACGUGAAGAACCAAAUUGUCUUACAGCAUGCUUCUCAUUUAUUUUAAAAAUGUAUUGGAUUCUAUAAAUAUUUUAGCGAUUGACUAUAGAUAAGGCAGUUGUAUUGCCACUUUAAGAUAAGGCAGUUGUAUUUUUCAAAAUGAAUCAUCUUAUGCACAUACAAAGUAAACUAUGUGAAAUGGACUAAAGUAUAAUCCAGGACUUUUACCUCCGUAUAGAACUUGGCUAUAUGCGAGAAUGGUUUGUUUAAGCACAUUGUAAGUUAUAUUAUGUUUUCUAUUUUUUUUUAAACUUAUCUCCUGUCUUUUAGUAUCAGAACCGUCUAUCUGUACAUGAUCGUUUCUUCAUUGCUUCAUUGUAGUUGAGAAUGUUAUGCGAGAAAGCAAAGGAAAUUCUAAUGGGAGAAAGCGAAGAUUUUGGUUUCUUUAGUCUAUUAUUAUUUUGCAUUACAGUACAUAUUUCACUAUUAUUUCAUUUUGUAUGGGGAAAAAAGCGUUAUUAUUACUUAUCAUUAUUUAUUUGCAUGUACUUACAACUGAUAUUCAAGGGGAAUUUCACGACCUUCCAGAGCUUUUUCGAAUUGGAGGGAAGGUAUCAGAUCUUAAAUUCCAAAUCCGCAGGUGAAUUGGCCCUUGCCAUUACCUGGAAACGACUCCUCUCACUCCCAAGAGAUAAAUUCAGGUGAAAGUUUUUACGCAACCUCAUUGCUUGCAAAAUUUUGUUCAGUCAACAUUCAAUGCCCUGCCAUCAGAUCAAGUUAAAGGUAUAUCUUAAGAUUCUUCGUUGCAUAUUCACCUUACAACUUUUACAUUGUCUCUUGAUUGGAUGGAUUUUUAUAAUUUCCAUGAUCAACAGAUGCAUGAAGUAAGGAGGAAGCUACUACUCUUAUGGAGCUUCUUUGGCAUGGUUAUUCUCAAUCCUCAGAUAGUGAUUAUUUAACUUCUCCAAACUUGGCUACUCAGCUUAAUGUAUGCUUGGAUUUUAAAGGGGCACCGUAUUUAUGAGUUGUACGAUUCUAGGGAGAUAAAGAGAGGGGAUUGAGAGGUCAUGCUAAGGAGAGUAUUUACUUGCCAUUGACGAAUAUACUUCAUACAAUAGCAAUGUGAUGAUGUAUGGCAUGCUUUAACUAAGGGAUGUUUUUGUGUAGUAAGAAAACCAUAUAGUCACAUUUUUGUAUUUUUUUUUUUUUUUUUUGGAUUUGGUAACCUGAAAUUUUAUGUGUGAACUAUAUGUUUCUUAAAGAAACAGAACUUUUUUGGAAACCAUCUCUUUCUAAUCCAAGACGUUCAGUUUCUUCUCUGUACAAUGUGUUUAUAUGCCAACUCACUUGAAUGUAUAUAAAAAAACUGUUUAUUCAUAAUUGUGUUGAAUUUAUUCAUCCAAUUACACUUGAAACAACAGGUUCCCGCAACAACGCACGGGCAUAUUUUCUCGUUGUAUCUGAAGAGAAGGUUCAUAUUGACUUGAAAUAAAUUCCUAUUAAUUUGUAUUUGUAUCUCCGGCUAGAUAUACAUGCACAAAAUAAGUACAAUUGCUAUUCUUGCAAUUUUCCGGCCACCAA